UGGGGAAUAUUGCACAAUGGGCGGAAGCCUGAUGCAGCGACGCGCGUGGGGGAUGAAGGCCUUCGGGUUGUAAACUCCUUUCGACAGGGACGAAGCUUUUGUGACGGUACCUGUAUAAGAAGCACCGGCUAACUACGUGCCAGCAGCCGCGGAAAUACGUAGGGGGCGAGCGUUGUCCGGGAUUACUGGCCGUAAAUUACANGUAGGUGGUUUGUCGCGUCGUCUGUGAAAUUCCGGGGCUUAACUCCGGGCGUGCAGGCGAUACGGGCUGACUUGAGUGCUGUAGGGGAGACUGGAAUUCCUGGUGUAGCGGUGAAAUGCGCAGAUAUCAGGAGGAACACCGAUGGCGAAGGCAGGUCUCUGGGCAGUAACUGACGCUGAGGAGCGAAAGCAUGGGUAGCGAACAGGAUUAGAUACCCUGGUAGUCCAUGCCGUAAACGGUGGGCGCUAGGUGUAGGGGGCUUCCACGUCUUCUGUGCCGUAGCUAACGCAUUAAGCGCCCCGCCUGGGGAGUACGGCCGCAAGCUA
rnacentral:rRNA from 1 species